rnacentral:tRNA from 1 species
GGAGGGUUACCCAAGCGGUCAACGGGGGCAGACUGUAAAUCUGCUGGCACAGCCUUCGGAGGUUCGAAUCCUCCACCCUCCA